GAAGGUAUAGCUCAGUGGUAGAGUGCCUGCCUAGCACGCGUAAGGUCCUGGGUUCAAUCCCCAGUGCCUCCA
rnacentral:tRNA from 1 species